UGAGGAAUCUUGGACAAUGGGGGAAACCCUGAUCCAGCGACGCCGCGUGAAGGAUGAAGGUCUUCGGAUUGUAAACUUCUUUUCUUUGGGAAUAAGAAACCGGUAGAAAUAUCGGGAGUGAAUGUACCAGAGGAAUAAGCCACGGCUAACUUCGUGCCAGCAGCCGCGGUAAUACGAAGGUGGCAAGCGUUACUCGGAAUUACUAGGCGUAAAGGGCAGGUAGGCGGUUUGGUAAGUCUGUUGUGUCAGCUCCCGGCUUAACUGGGAGAGGUCAACGGAUACUGUCGAACUAGAGUGUGGGAGAGGGUACUGGAAUUCCUGGUGUAGCGGUGAAAUGCGCAGAUAUCAGGAGGAACACCAAUGGCGAAAGCAAGUACCUGGACCACUACUGACGCUCAGCUGCGAAAGCUAGGGGAGCAAACAGG
rnacentral:rRNA from 1 species